rnacentral:rRNA from 1 species
CAGUAACACGGGGGGUAACCUGCCCUUAGGACGGGAUCACCCCCCGGAAACUGGGGCUAAUCCCCGAUAGGUAAAGAACUCUGGAAUGAGUCUUUGCCCAAAGGCCGUUAGAGCAUGCUUCUGGCGGUGCCUAAGGAUGGGGCCGCGACCGAUCAGGUUGUUGGUGAGGUAAUGGCCCACCAAGCCUAUAACCGGUGCGGGCCGUGAGAGCGGGAGCCCGGAGAUGGGCACUGAGACAAGGGCCCAGGUCCUACGGGGCGCAGCAGUCGCGAAAACUUUGCAAUACACGAAAGUGUGACAGGGUCAUCCCGAGUGCCGACCGCUGAGGUUGGCUUUUACCCAGUCUAGAAAGCUGGGGGAAUAAGGAGAGGGCAAGUCUGGUGUCAGCCGCCGCGGUAAUACCAGCUCUCCGAGUGGUGUGGACGUUUAUUGGGCCUAAAGCAUCCGUAGCUGGCCAAACAAGUCCCCUGUUAAACCCACCGAUUUAAUCGUUGGCGUGCGGGGGAUACUGCUCGGCUAGGGGACGAGAGAGGCAGACGGUAUUCCCGGGGUAGGGGUGAAAUCUUGUAAUCCUUGAAGGACCACCAGUGGCGAAGGCGUCUCACCAGAACGGACCUGACGGCAAGGGACGAAAGCUAGGGGCACGAACCGGAUUAGAUACCCGGGUAGUCCUAGCCGUAAACGAUACUCGCUAGGUGUCGGCCACGGUGCGACCGUUGUCGGUGCCGUAGGGAAGCCGUGAAGCGAGCCACCUGGGAAGUACGGCCGCAAGGCUGAAACUUAAAGGAAUUGGCGGGGGAGCACCACAACGGGUGGAGCUUGCGGUUUAAUUGGAUUCAACGCCGGAAAUCUUACCGGGACCGACAGCAAUAUGAAGGCCAGGCUGAAGACUUUGCCGGAUUAGCUGAGAGGUGGUGCAUGGCCGUCGUCAGUUCGUACUGUGAAGCAUCCUGUUAAGUCAGGCAACGAGCGAGACCCACGCCCACAGUUGCCAGCGUACUCUCUGGAGUGACGGGUACACUGUGGGGACCGCCGCUGCUAAAGCGGAGGAAGGAAUGGGCAACGGUAGGUCAGUAUGCCCCGAAUAUCCCGGGCUACACGCGAGCUACAAUGGUUGGUACAAUGGGUAUCUACCCCGAAAGGGGACGGGAAUCUCCUAAAACCAAUCUUAGUUCGGAUUGAGGGCUGCAACUCGCCCUCAUGAAGCUGGAAUCCGUAGUAAUCGCGUUUCAACAGAACGCGGUGAUACGUCCCGGCCCUUUUGGCCACCC